rnacentral:rRNA from 1 species
UACGUAGGGUGCAAGCGUUGUCCGGAAUUAUUGGGCGUAAAGAGCUCGUAGGCGGUCUGUCGCGUCUGCUGUGAAAACUCAGGGCUUAACCCUGAGCCUGCAGUGGAUACGGGCAGACUAGAGGUAGGUAGGGGAGAAUGGAAUUCCCGGUGUAGCGGUGAAAUGCGCAGAUAUCAGGAGGAACACCAAUGGCGAAGGCAGAUCUCUGGGCCGUAACUGACGCUGAGGAGCGAAAGCGUGGGGAGCGAACAGG